AUACCUUUCUCGGCCUUUUGGCUAAGAUCAAGUGUAGUAUCACUGAUACGUGGCCCAUUGGUUCACAUGAUAUUAAAUUAAUUUUUCAUGCGGUUAUAGCCCACCACACAGCAGCUUGCUUCUUGGGGCACUCAAGCGUUGCCUUGGCUUGGUUAAUUUUU
rnacentral:snRNA from 1 species